AACUGCUCGUCAAGGAAUUGUGUGGUUUCGUUGGAGGGGCUGGGACUAUACAUUAAAAAAGUCCACAAUGAUGAUUCGGCCAAAGGUACCACAACAACAGACAACGUCUGCAACAUCUUUAUAGUUUUUAACAAAUUUUACUUUGUAAAGAUAAUAAUCGAAAAUAAAACGAAAGCUCAUACGAAAAAAAACUAUGGUAGGGUCCGUGGUUUCAAAAUCUUAAAUAGGUCUGUGGUCCAGGACCUUAUCAGCGUUUGGUUAUUUAUGUGGGGUAUCUGCUUUAAGGAGCAAGCAUGUCAUACGAUUACCCUAGACAACAACCAUUAAGCUGAACGAGAACUACGAAAGAUGUGAGAUCCAAAAGUAUAGACGAAAGACGAGAAGAUUACAAAUGAAGAUUAAAGACGAACGACGAGGAUGAGCAAAAAGCGAGAGUCGAGUUCGAUCCUUUGAAUGGUUCUAAGACGACAACCAAGGACGUGAA